rnacentral:lncRNA from 1 species
ACCUCCCUAUUCUAAAGCCAGUAUCUUUAUUAACAUAGCUUCAGGCCAAAUGCUGUUUUGUGGUGACCACAGCACAAGGUCCCCUCACACUGACACCGAGGCUGCCUGUGCUUUUCUCAGCAGUGCUGCUUGUGGUCCUCCCUCCCCCAUCCUUCCUCCCACACCAACCCCCCCACACACUGCAGCACACAAUCAGGUUUCUCUCUUCAGGAAAGAACAGUCCUUGAUGAUGGGUCCAAUUUCACAGACAAAUGUAAGUCUAAAUUAGACUCUGCUUUAUAGAUUCAUGAGUUAGGAUUGGAUUCAGCACCAAGAUCACAAGAACCAGGGCAGGGAGAGAGGGCAGGAAAGCAGAGCAGAACAGAAGCUCUAGAAGCAGGGCAGGAGGUGAAUGGCUCUGAAAAUUUGUCUCAGAAUGCACAGCGACCCCCGUGUUCAGGAGCCACCCUGGGCGAUGUCUGAGCCUCUGUGGUCACAGUUCCCACUGGACAAGUUUCCACUGAUGGGACAAGGACGAUGGAGCAGUGAAGGGGACCCAGCUGAGGACUGACCACA